GACGAACGCUGGCGGCGUGCUUAACACAUGCAAGUCGAACGGAAAGGCCCUGCUUUUGUGGGGUGCUCGAGUGGCGAACGGGUGAGUAACACGUGAGUAACCUGCCCUUGACUUUGGGAUAACUUCAGGAAACUGGGGCUAAUACCGGAUAGGAGCUCCUGCUGCAUGGUGGGGGUUGGAAAGUUUCGGCGGUUGGGGAUGGACUCGCGGCUUAUCAGCUUGUUGGUGGGGUAGUGGCUUACCAAGGCUUUGACGGGUAGCCGGCCUGAGAGGGUGACCGGCGACAUUGGGCCUGCGAUACGGCCCAGACUCCUACGGGAGGCAGCAGUGGGGAAUAUUGCACAAUGGGCGGAAGCCUGAGGCAGCAACGCCGCGUGCGGGAUGACGGCCUUCGGGUUGUGAACCGCUGUCGCCUGUGACGAAGCGGGAGUGACGGUAAUGGGUAAAGAAGCACCGGCUAACUACGUG
rnacentral:rRNA from 1 species